AACUUUGUGCAGUGGCAGUAUAAUAGCCAAUGAGAUUUACCCAAGGCACAAUUAUUGCUAAUUGAACAACAGGUCAUUAUUCUAUGGAAAACCCCGUUACUGGCACUAGGAUAUGAACAACCAGCUUUUAUCACAAAGGGCUCUUGAAGAUUUUUAACUCGUCUCUGGG
rnacentral:snRNA from 1 species